GGAAAGUGUCGGGGGGUACAUUCGAUGCAGUUUCAGAUGACCACAGAGAACCGUACCUAGCUUACCUCGAGGCUGGGAUUGGACUUCUGGGAGUGGUUAUCAAAACUGGAUGGAUCUCAGGGACAAUAACGUUGUCACCGAAGGAAGUAGCAG